rnacentral:lncRNA from 1 species
GAGUCUCACUCUGUCACCCAGGCUGAAGUGCAAUGGCAUGGUCUCGGCUCACUGCAACCUCCGCCUCCCAGGUUCAAGUGAUUCUCUUGCCUCAGCCUCCCAAGUAGCUGGGCCUAUAGGUUCCCUCCACCACGCCCACCUAAUUUUUGUAUUUUUAGUAGAGAUGGGCUUUCACUACGUUAGCCAGGCUGGUCUCAAACUUGUGACCUCAUGAUCCACCCCCCUCAGCCUCCUAAAGUGCUGGGAUUACAGGCAUCUGCCACGGCACUCGGCUUAUCCCUAGAAAUCCUAUGAUAGCAUGAUGUAUAGGCACCUAAAGGCAUGGCACUUGAGAAAUGUGAAUAAGAUUGUAAGUUACAAAUAGCAAGGUACAGUCAGAUGUUAACAGUCUCAGCCCCUAAAUGUCACCUUGUAUUACAGCAUGUUAUAUAAGCACAUACAGGCACAUACAUGAAAUAGUGAUACUUCAUUCUCAGUAAUAUUUUUCAUCCUUCUCACUGGAAAGAUCUUUGAUGAUUUUUAAUCAACAUAGGAGUUUCAAUGAUAUCUAGAAGUUUAAAAGGGCUCGUUCAAACAAAUUAUGACCAUACACCCUGAAGAGUAUGUGUCUGUCUCUUGUGGUGUAAAUUUUUAUUUUAUUACACCCAAUUAUGUUCCCACAAAACCUUUAUAAUUGGGAAAUUAAGGAGCCUUCCUCGGAAAUGGAGGUUGCAAUCAGCUGAGAUGGUACCACUGCACUCUAGCCUGGGCAAAAGAGCAAGGCCCUGCCUCAAAAAAAACAAAACUUUUUUCUUCAUAAACUACAGUUUAUAUAGGCAAAACUUUCAGUACUAAGCAAUUUUAGUCUCUGCAGGCUCUUGUCUUGAAUUAAUACAACUUUUGUUAAUUCUCUUAUGAAGUUAAAUCUUCCUGCUUGUAUGCAACUUAUAUGUUGAAAUUUUUUUGUACAAAAGAUUCAUACAUCUUUCCUGUUUGAAAUUAUUUUACCGUGCUUCAUCAAUCUAAUGUUUGUUAUUUUUAUUACACCAGUAAUUUCCUCAUUGUGUUGAAUCUGAAAGUGGCAUAGAAAUUGAUACGUACCUAGAAAUGUUUAGCCAGUCGGUGUGUAUUUGAUGUAGCAAUUUUUUCCUUUGAAUCACAUACUCUAAGAGAAGUAACUUCCUCUUGCUAACCUCUACUUUGCCUAAGUGAUGAAUUAAUCCUCUUUAGAUGAUUAUAGUUAUCUUUUCAACACUUAGCAAGAAAGAAUCUAUAAAGAAGAACUAUAAAUCUGUAAAGAAGAACUUUCCCAGCCGGGCGCAGUGGCUUUGGUUCAGUGCUUCUCAGCCUUUUGGCUAAGAUCAAGUGUGAGACGCAGUUUCACUCUUACUGCCCAGGCUGGAGUGCAAUGGUGAAAUCUUGGCUUACUGCAACCUCCGCCUCCCAGGUUCCAAUGAUUCUCCUGCCUCAACCUCCAGAGUAGCUGGGAUUACAGGCACCCGCCACCACACCUGGCUACUUUUUUAUAUUUUUAGUAGUGACAGGGUUUCACCCUGUUGGUCAGGCUGGACUUGAACUCCUGACCUCAGGUGAUCCACAUGCCUCGGCCUCCCAAAGUGCUGGGAUUAUAGGCAUGAGCCACUGCACCCAGCCCCCAGCAUCAUUUUCUUCAGAGAACAUUCGAGGAUUCUUCAUGAUGGCUGGGCUUUUUUUUUUUUUUUUUUUUUUGAGACGGAGUUUCACUCUUGUUGCCCAGGCUGGAGUGCAAUGGCACAAUCUUGGCUCACCACAACUUCUGCCCCCUGAGUUCAAGCAGUUCUGCCUCAGCCUCCCGAGUAGCUAGGAUUAUAGGCAUGCACAAUCACACCUGGCUAAUUUUGUAUUUUUAGUAGAGACGAGGUUUCUCCAUGUUGAUCAAGCUAGUCAGGAACGCUCGACCUCAGGUGAUCCGCCCGCCUUGGCCUCCCAAAGUGCUGGGAUUACAGGCGUGGGCCACCACUCCCGGCGAUGCCUGGGCUUUCAUUGGGUAUUAAGUCUACAAACAGCACCUUCAAUUUAAACUGUCAAUUACAGUUCUUAAGAUUUAGGAAGUGAUGGAGCUUGGAAAGUUACGAGAUUACAAAAUCCGUGAAAGUCCAUUAGAAAAACCACAAGAUGGAAAAAAGUAUAAACCAGGCCACAAAGAAGCUUCAGAGGUCCCUGCUGUCCCAGGGACAGAUACCUGCAGUGUCCAGCAUCUCAGUGAACAUGACCUGCUUUCAAAGGCAGGGGCUUAAAGCGAGGGUGGCAUGGGACCGGUGGAGGCAAAGUGUUGGGGUGAUCAGACCCAACACCUGGUCACUGGGGCUAUGAAGUCUGGCAGAGUCAAAGGAAUGAGACAAGACAAGAGUACAUAGGGUGGGUCUCAGGGGCCAACGCCAGUAUGGAGGCUGCAAAGGCCCUGAGCUCUAGGAGCCCACACUAUUUAUUGGUAAUCAAACAAAGAAGCAGGUGGAGAGGACGUGCGGAUGUGGGGGCAGACAGGUGAGGAUGUGGGGGUAGAAAGCGGUGCAUCAAGCGUAGCUGUGAUGGCUUAGCAUAUGCUCUGCUACUUGAGAUAAGGGAGAAUAGGUUCUUCUAAUUCAAGAUACAAUCAAUUUAUGAUCUUGGGAGAACAAAGUGCAAGGGGCCAGUGAGUCUGGACACACUCCAAAGGCUACAGAGGGUUUUAUGCCCUGAGCCCUGGGUUCUCUCCAAGCCACAAGGGGUUUCAUACCCUGGGUUUAGAUUGUACUGCGGCAGGGCAGCCUUCCACCCUUUGGCACAGAGUUUGGUGUUCCAAAGGUCAUGAGGGGUUUUAGACCCUGGACCCAGGACAUGUUCCAAGACUCUUUUACAUUAUGUCAGAAAAACGAGCCCUGCCUCAGCUCUUCUGCCAACAUGUCUCCCUUUUUUGUCCUGCAAAACCGCCACAGCUAUCAUUGCUUGUUCUUGGCAGCGGCUUUCUCUCCAGAAGCGGCUUCCGCAUCUGUAGAUUAAAAGGAGACAGCACAAGCACAUAAUUAUUAGAACAAAAUUUACAAGUGUAGAGUUUCCAGUGGUCUUAAUCCAUUUAAGAGAAUUGAUUGCAGACAACCCAUUGGCUGCCUCGCUGAAAAUAUCAGUUCCAGGGAGCAGGGUUAAGUGAGCCUGAGAGGCUUCAAAAACCUGCUCUUUUACUUUUACAAUAUCAAGGGUGAGAUUUUCCUCUCUGCCCACUAGAUGGCAUUUAAUUUCCCAUUGGUGUUCUGUUUCAUUCUAACUAUGAGGAGUAACGCAAAAAUCGGAUGUAUUCCAGUCACAUUGCAUUUGAAUUCUAGUUUCUAAACUUAUGAUGCAAUCCCCCAUCCAAAUUACUGUCUGAGGGAGAUCAUUAAUUUGACUAACUAUAUUUUGAUCUGUUUGGGCCUGAGAGCUCCAUAAUUUCAUAGAAUUCUUUUUCCAUUUAUCAACAAAUUUGACAGUUUGCACAGAUGAGUGUAAAGCCACACUAGCUACUGCAGCAGUGGUGGUAACUGCAGUGAGGCCAAUUAUAGCAAAUAUAAGAGCAACUAUAAAUCUUUUUGAACGGGAUAAGAGUUUUGUAAGGAUCUCAGUUAUAAUGUGAAUGGACGGUGAUGCCUCCCAUGGUCUAUUUAGAGACACAGGGAUCCAAACUCCUUCUCUGGCUCUAAUUAACAAGAUAGUUUGAUUUUUAUCAAGAUGUCGUUAAUGCAAGUAAACAAGUGACAUUCCUGGCAGGUGAUAAAACGGGUAUUUAUGUAAAGAGUAAUAUUUCCGGCCUGGCGGGGUGGCUCACACCUGUAGUCCCAGCACUUUGGAAGGC